AGGGAAUUUUCGGCAAUGGGCGAAAGCCUGACCGAGCAACGCCGCGUGAGUGAAGAAGGCCUUCGGGUUGUAAAGCUCUGUUGUGAAGGAAGAACGGCUCAUACAGGGAAUGGUAUGGGAGUGACGGUACUUUACCAGAAAGCCACGGCUAACUACGUGCCAGCAGCCGCGGUAAUACGUAGGUGGCGAGCGUUAUCCGGAAUUAUUGGGCGUAAAGGGUGCGCAGGCGGUUUGUUAAGUUUAAGGUGAAAGCGUGGGGCUUAACCCCAUAUAGCCUUAGAAACUGACAGACUAGAGUACAGGAGAGGGCAAUGGAAUUCCAUGUGUAGCGGUAAAAUGCGUAGAUAUAUGGAGGAACACCAGUGGCGAAGGCGGUUGCCUGGCCUGUAACUGACGCUCAUGCACGAAAGCGUGGGGAGCAAAUAGGAUUAGAUACCCUAGUAGUCCACGCCGUAAACGAUGAGAACUAAGUGUUGGGGAAACUCAGUGCUGCAGUUAACGCAAUAAGUUCUCCGCCUGGGGAGUAUGCACGCAAGUGUGAAACUCAAAGGAAUUGACGGGGGCCCGCACAAGCGGUGGAGUAUGUGGUUUAAUUCGACGCAACGCGAAGAACCUUACCAGGUCUUGACAUCCCCUGCAAAGACAUAGAGAUAUGUUGGAGGUUAUCAGGGAGACAGGUGGUGCAUGGUUGUCGUCAGCUCGUGUCGUGAGAUGUUGGGUUAAGUCCCGCAACGAGCGCAACCCUUGUCUUUAGUUGCUAACAUUAAGUUGAGGACUCUAGAGAGACUGCCGGUGACAAACCGGAGGAAGGUGGGGAUGACGUCAAAUCAUCAUGCCCCUUAUGACCUGGGCUACACACGUACUACAAUGGCGGAUACAACGAGAAGCAAGACAGUGAUGUGGAGCAAAACUCAGAAAGUCCGUCUCAGUUCGGAUUGAAGUCUGCAACCCGACUUCAUGAAGCCGGAAUCGCUAGUAAUCGCGGAUCAGCAUGCCGCGGUGAAUACGUUCUC
rnacentral:rRNA from 1 species